rnacentral:siRNA from 1 species
CAACAGCGUCGUGUAUGGUGGA